GAUGAACGCUGGCGGCGUGCCUAAUACAUGCAAGUCGAGCGAACGGACGAGAAGCUUGCUUCUCUGAUGUUAGCGGCGGACGGGUGAGUAACACGUGGAUAACCUACCUAUAAGACUGGGAUAACUUCGGGAAACCGUAGCUAAUACCGGAUAAUAUUCUGAACCGCAUGGUUCAAAAGUGAAAGACGGUCUUGCUGUCACUUAUAGAUGGAUCCGCGCUGCAUUAGCUAGUUGGUAAGGUAACGGCUUACCAAGGCAACGAUGCAUAGCCGACCUGAGAGGGUGAUCGGCCACACUGGAACUGAGACACGGUCCAGACUCCUACGGGAGGCAGCAGUAGGGAAUCUUCCGCAAUGGGCGAAAGCCUGACGGAGCAACGCCGCGUGAGUGAUGAAGGUCUUCGGAUCGUAAAACUCUGUUAUUAGGGAAGAACAUAUGUGUAAGUAACUGUGCACAUCUUGACGGUACCUAAUCAGAAAGCCACGGCUAACUACGUG
rnacentral:rRNA from 1 species